GACACCUCUGAAUGUGCAUCUGUGUGGCAUCUUGCUUUCAGGUAUUCACAAGGGUGCCCCACCGAGGGAAAUCAAAUGCAAGGGAUGACAACGGAAGCUCUUCACAAUGGUUUGAAGCUUAUUUAUGCUGGAAGAAGAAAUGAGAAAUCACCCCAGCUGAGCUCCCUGCUGACGGCCAGCAGCAUUUGCCAGCAUGUGAGUGGGCCAUCUGAACAUCCAGCCCUAUACAGCCUUCAGAGACGCCAGCCCUAGCUUCAAACUGACUGAAAACCAGAAGACACCAAAUGAGAACCACCCAAAAGGUGGAGGCAACAAGUGUGCCCACCACUCAACUGACCAGGAAGAAAUAAGUGGUUGGCACCGGGCAGUGCAAAGAAAGGUAGCCAUGGACUUUGCAGUCACGUGGAUUCAUACCUGCCUGAAAACACACCUAAAAUGCAUGAAUUGGUGUCUAUGGAGAUUUUGAAGUGAAAAAAAAUUAUUACACCUGAAUAUUACACACACUCCUAUACACCUCAUUUGAAUUAGGAUAUUAACAGUCAAGAAUGCAUUCAGAAAAGAAUGACUUGAAUGAUAGGAAGUCUGAGGUUUAUGUCAAAAGUGACAGAGCUGAGGGAAGCCUGGGCUCCUGCAAUUCUGCCCACAUCUAGGAAGUCAAGAGACUGAAACCAGUGGUCGCACAAAUAAAGCUGAGACUCAUCCUAGGUGGUCCAGACCAUGUCCUGGCAGCUCGAGGGUGCCUGGGGCGCCAAUGAGUUCAAGAGAAGCAGGCAGACAGUGACCAAGUACAGACCGAAACCACCUCCAACACUGACCAAGAGAAUCUCAUUACCCUUGCAGGCAGUCUCCAUUUCACAAAGGACAAGUGGCCACAACUGUGCUUUUCUGUGUCAUGCAAGGGCACAGGAAUUUCCCUUAUAUCUGUCAACCAAAGUUGGCAGUUGGAGGAGAAUUCUCUCAAUGGAUUAAAUAAUCCUAGUUGCCACAGUUUCUCAUUAUUGCAUCCAUGAGUCCUGCUUUACCUUCAAACGCAGUUUGGCCUUCAUUGGCCCUCUUAAUUACAUAUUUGAAGUAAGACAGGCGACACUGAAGUUGGGACUCAGCUAAUGAGAUUGGACUAAAUCAUGGCCCAGGAUGCAGUAGUAAACCAGGGCUGUCGCUGUGGGCACUGGAAAGAGCGAUGAUUCCUCAGUAAGAAACUGGAACUAUACCUUUGACAAUUUACGUCAGGGCGCGCCUGGGUGGCUCAGUCGGUUGGGCGUCCAACUUCGGCUCAGGUCAUGAUCUCUCAGCCUGUGAGUUCGAGCCCCUCGUCAGG